UCUACGGGUGGCUGCAGUGAGGAAUAUUGGUCAAUGGCCGAGAGGCUGAACCAGCCAAGUCGCGUGAGGGAAGACGGCCCUACGGGUUGUAAACCUCUUUUGUCGGGGAGCAAAGCGAGCCACGUGUGGUCCAUUGAGAGUACCCGAAGAAAAAGCAUCGGCUAACUCCGUGCCAGCAGCCGCGGUAAUACGGAGGAUGCGAGCGUUAUCCGGAUUUAUUGGGUUUAAAGGGUGCGCAGGCGGAGGUGCAAGUCAGCGGUCAAAUGGCGGGGCUCAACCCCGUACUGCCGUUGAAACUGCAGCCCUUGAGUGCGCGAGAAGUACGCGGAAUGCGUGGUGUAGCGGUGAAAUGCAUAGAUAUCACGCAGAACUCCGAUUGCGAAGGCAGCAUACCGGCGCGCAACUGACGCUGAUGCACGAAAGCGUGGGUAUCGAACAGGAUUAGAUACCCCGGUAGUC
rnacentral:rRNA from 1 species